UACGAAGGGGGGCUAGCGUUGUUCGGAAUUACUGGGCGUAAAGGGCUCGUAGGUGGCCAACUAAGUCAGACGUGAAAUCCCUCAGCUUAACUGGGGAACUGCGUCUGAUACUGGAUGGCUUGAGUUUGGAGAGGGAUGCGGAAUUCCAGGUGUAGCGGUGAAAUGCGUAGAUAUCUGGAGGAACACCGGUGGCGAAGGCGGCAUCCUGGACCAACACUGACACUGAUGAGCGAAAGCCAGGGGAGCAAACGGG
rnacentral:rRNA from 1 species